CCUGUGUAUGCGGCGCAGCCUGAUGCAGCCAUGCCGCGUGUGUGAAGAAGGCCUUCGGGUUGUAAAGCACUUUCAGUAAGGAGGAAAGGUUAAGUGUUAAUAGCACUUAUGUGUGACGUUACUUACAGAAGAAGCACCGGCUAACUCCGUGCCAGCAGCCGCGGUAAUACGGAGGGUGCGAGCGUUAAUCGGAAUUACUGGGCGUAAAGCGUACGCAGGCGGUUUGUUAAGCGAGAUGUGAAAGCCCCGGGCUCAACCUGGGAACUGCAUUUCGAACUGGCAAACUAGAGUGUGAUAGAGGGUGGUAGAAUUUCAGGUGUAGCGGUGAAAUGCGUAGAGAUCUGAAGGAAUACCGAUGGCGAAGGCAGCCACCUGGGUCAACACUGACGCUCAUGUACGA
rnacentral:rRNA from 1 species